AUUGAACGCUAGCGGGAUGCUUUACACAUGCAAGUCGAACGAGUGGCGGACGGGUGAGUAAUAUAUCGGAACGUGCCCAGUAGCGGGGGAUAACUACUCGAAAGAGUGGCUAAUACCGCCUACUAUUGGAGCGGCCCAUAUCGGAUUAGCUAAUUGGUGGGGUAAAGGCUCACCAAGGCAACGAUCCGUAGCUGGUUUGAGAGGAAGACCAGCCACACGCGGACUGAGAAAUGGCCCAGACUCCUCCGGGAGGCAGCAUGGGGGUAUUUUGGACAAUGGGGGAAAGCCUGAUCCAGUCAUCCCGCGUGUAUGAGAAGGCCUUCGGGUUGGAAAGUACUGUUGGCAGAGAAGCGUUACCGAUAGAAGAAGCACCGGCUAACUCCGUGCCAGCAGCCGCGGUAAUAC
rnacentral:rRNA from 1 species